rnacentral:rRNA from 1 species
AUUUGACCUCAGAUCAGGUAGGACU